CACUGACCCCUGGGCGUGCCACAGAGGAGGCACCGGGGAGGUCAGAGCCGGAGGCUGGUGAGAGCAGGUCAGGUCUCUUGUGCAGCCUGGAUGGAGACACAGGGGCAGGUCCCUGCUCUGCAUCCAGGAGCUGGAGGUGAGACCCAGCCAAGGAGAGAGAAGAGGAGAAAGGUGUCUCGUUCUGGGGUCCUCCUCCCAGCAGACUUCACCCUGCUUCCCUGCCCACCGGCUACCCCAUCCCACCACCUGUCUCUAGAGCUGCCCUCACACCUGCCUUUCCAUGGAGGGUAUGUUUCCCCAUCUGUAGAGGAAAAGGGUGGUCUCUAUUUCUCACCUGUUCCCCCCUGGAGAUGGGGCAGGACAACUCCAUCUGAAGGGCUGGGGAGAGAUGGACGUUAAGGAGAAGCCCCCACCAUCCUGAAGCAGAUUCCAGAUUCUAUAUACUAUAGAAGUCAAAGCCACAUGCAGAUUCAUGUUAAAGAAACUGACUUUAUUUAGUUGAAAAGUAUCUACUGGUUCAAGUGAAGAACUUCUGUACAGACUGGCUUGGGGAAUGGAGAUGUGCUGAGGGGCGGAGGGGGCACAUGUAGAGCACAGGUAAGAAAGAGUUCUUGCACCCCUGCCUCUCGCUCCUUCCUUGGCACACAGCUCACUUCACUUUACCCCAUUCCAGGGCAGGUAGAGGGGCAGAAAUGCGAAAGGUGGAGCAGAGGCAGUCAGCUUGGGGCAGAACCACGGACAAGCACUACCUCCAACUCAGAACAGCAUGCAGGGAUGCUCUGUCCUAGAUGUGUCAGAGGUGGUCCUCAAGGCCGGAGCCCCCAACUCACCGAGGCUGAGCAGGAUCCAGCCUCGUCGUCAGGAUCUUCGGCUUCCGUCUCGCUGUAGCAGUCUGGGGUGGACAGGAGCCGUUGGGGCGACCCACUUAAGCUUCACAGCGUUGGACUGUAGUUGGAGACAUUGAUGAGACCCUCGGCCUUCUCAUCCUGCGGGAUCACAGUGUGAGGGUCAGCUUGGAGCGCCAACACCCUUGAGGCCCA